CUACUGCUAAAAGCCAAGGCUAAGUGCGAACGACACCUGAAAGCCAAGGUGCCCAAGGUGCAUGGUUAGGCUGUGGGGAAGAUCUUUCAGCAUAAGAUGUUGGAAAGCAAAGUUGUCACAGCCUCUUUCUGCUGCUCCAGAACUCCAGAUGCCAAGGGGUCAGGAGGAUGCAAGAGUCAUGGUCAUGGGCUUACAGCCCUUAUCACUAUACCCAAAGCCCAGGCAAUGCAUGGGAGAUAGCAUCACCAGGCAAAGCAUGGGAGAGAGCAUCAACCAUCAGUUCUCCCAAGAUCCUUUGCAGCAAGACACCAGUGGUAUGGGAAACAAAGCAUCCUUCCAACACUCCUUCUCUGUUUCCCUCUGACACACUCUCUCUAUAUUCUCCUCAAAUGGGCCCAAGCUCAGCUAAGCCUCUUUCUUCCACUUCCUUUCUAUUUUGGGCUGCAAAAUCACUACCAGAUGUAGGGCUGGAGGGAGAAGGAAGGGAGAAAGCUCUCUCAUGUGGGUAGCAAAGUAAUCAUCCCCCAUUGGUUUCUUUCAUCAGUUUCACAUGUGUUAAUUAUUGGCACUGGGGCUGUAUGCUGAGGCACCCUGCACCCCCCCUGCCCCCAGCUAGUCCUGGAUGGGCAUCCUCUCCCAUCUCCCUCUAUUGCCUGAGAGAAGAGGGCAAGCCAGAAUGCUUCUCACCUUCACUGUUGCAUCUCAGAGAUCUCUUUUCCCACAGCCAGCACAGUGGGAGUACCUGGAGACAUCACCAGCAGAGGGAAAGGUCCCCAAAAGCCAGCUGUGAUUUUAGAGCAGAGUUGCCUGCCCACCUGGUGUCCCUCUCCUGUUGGAAAUGACAGCAAGGGGCCACAAAAGCCCAGCUUUCAUUUUAUUCUAAGCCUCCAGCUUUACAUCAGCCAAAACCUCAAGCCACAUCCUCUGUUGCUUCUUUGUCCUGUUCACCCAAUGCCCAAUUAACACCUCAUUAAAAACCAUAUGUGCAAAGGCAUUUCCUUCUGUCGUACUAUAGACCACCUGCCUACCUUGGGAUCUGGUGAUAUCAACCAGCUGGUCUUGCUCUCACACCCUAUUUUCUAACUCUUCUCUAUGAGACUGUCAGCAUUUAGUAUUGAUCUCUCUCCUUAAUUGUCAGCAGCAGUGUUGGUAGGGCUGAGGAGAUGUGUAUGACUGACAAGCAGACUUUGGGCUCUUUACCAUGGUCAGUUUGGUAGAGCAAAGGAAUCAAGUCACAGGGCUUUGCAAACACGCCCUUGGUCCUGUUUUGAGACAUGGUUCUGCGACUGAGGCCAGCAGUAGCUCUGCCAUUCACUGAAACAGAAAGAAAUCUAAUGCAUUGUUGUUUAGAUAUCUCGUGGACCCAAGUCCUGGCUUUGGAAAAAGCUAUUCUGAGCUGCUCGGGCAAUAAAACUCAGGCUCGCUGCUCCAUCCUGUAGCAAGUGUCUGUCCAAUCCCAAAUAGUACAGCCAAGAGGAGGAAUCAUCUUGAUGUCAAUACUCACAUCAGCAUAUUCAAGGCUUUAAAGACUCAAGGCAAUCAUUAGCAGUAGGUGGGUAGAUCAAAUUAAUCUGCAAGAGGUCCACUAAUCCAAAGGCAGAAUGAAUUCUGAUUUAACCCUUCCCAAGAAAUGUUUUCUUAAGAUGUUGUGAAAGAACCUCCAGUGGCAGCACCUCUGUAACACCCCAGAAAUUCACUCUAGCACUUCACGAACAAGGCAGCGAGUUGCCAGACCAUCUCUGAGGUGGUCUAAAGAGUUGAUGGUUGCAGACAGAGGAUUUUGCAAUUUGGAGAAGAUCUUCCCACUUUGCAGAAGAGCUGCCAUCCACAGAUUUCUAGACUACAGAUGCCCUUGGACACAUGAAAUGAUAAUGUUAUGGGGUAUUUGUGAACAGACUAACUCAAUCUCCGUUUUGCAGUGUGUCUGCUCCAUCACGCUGCAGGAGUCGAAGGAGAUGGAUAGGUUUAGAUCCUCUUGUGGGGUGAGGGGUGACAGAACAAAAAGCUGUAAUCUGCACUGUGUUAGCUUUAAUGCAAUUAAUUGCUUGGCUAAGGCUCAGAAGCUUAGUUUUUGCACAAAGGCUUCAGAGCCCAGGGUGAAAAGUGGUUAGGUCCAAUCCUUUCGUCCUUUGAUGAUACGGAAACUGGGGCCUGGUUUCUAUUUGUGCUAAUCACCCAAGGACAUAUGGGUCUGUGCCCUUCUCAGCCAGAUGGAGGACCUGAUCCCAUUGCCUCUUCCCUCACUACAGACCCAAAAGAAAAAGCCUGGGAAGGGCAACGUGGUCUUCACAAUUAAGAUGCCCCAGCCCCCACUUGCAGACAAUAUUUAUGGAGGCAAAGUGGUUGUGACUUGGAGCAAUAUAAAUCCUGGGUGGCCACCCCAAGCCUUCAGGCAGUCUCCUCUGAUAUCACUCAGAGUAUUUCUGAGGAGCACCCACCUCGGUGGCAGGAGGACUCUUCUAACUGCCGUGGAGGACUUGGGAUGUGUUACCACACUGCCAGGUCCCCUAUCUGUCUUGUCUUUGGGUUUUUAGUGGUGUAGGACAGAGUUGUCCCUCACAAUGCAUUUGUAUUUUGGCUCUGCAAGACCUAGCCUUUCCUAGAAGGAAAACAAGUGACUCUGCAGGCAGGUGGAGAGCUGUGCCCAGGACCAUUUGACCCUCCGUUUGAUAAUAAUGGCAGCCCAUGGUGCUGAUGUGCCACUAUAUCUAUACCGAGUCUACCUGCUGGCAAUGCAGACUGAUGGUCCCGAUGUCAGAUGCAUAAAGGACCUCAUCUCUUUGCAAGAUCUCCCCCACGGCAGCCAGCCGUGCUCCUUCCUGUCUUAACAGCUCACAGUGCCUCCUGAAAGCAAGGCUGGAGACUCAACCCCUGCCCCUGGAUUUUAUUUUUCUUUUCAGCAGUGUGAUGAAUAGGUCCCACUCUGAAGGCUGCUUCUGCCGGUGUAGAACAGACUUAUUUUAUAUUAGAGGUGGGGCAAGCGCCGCUGAGAAGUAUGUUUGCUGAUCACAGGGAGCAGUGCACCUCUUGGCCUGAAAUGAUUUAUUGAUCUGGCUGGUAUUCAAAGGGCAAAAGGGAAUAGGCACAGU